rnacentral:rRNA from 1 species
UGAAUACGAGACGCUAAGGCGUCGAAGUAGUGUAUGUCAUACUUCCAAGAAAAGCUUGCACUGUCAUAAGUAAAAAAUGCCUGUACCAUAACCGACACAGGUGGGUAGGUAGAGUAUACAAUGGGGCGCGAGAUAACUCUCUCUAAGGAACUCGGCAAAAUAACUCCGUAACUUCGGGAGAAGGAGUACCUUAUUCUAUAAGGUUGCAAUAACAAGAUCCAAGCAACUGUUUAUCAAAAACACAGGUCUCCGCUAAGUCGUAAGACGAUGUAUGGGGGCUGACGCCUGCCCAGUGCCAGAAGGUUAAAGAAGUCGGUUAGCAUUAGCGAAGCUGGUAACUGAAGCCCUGGUGAACGGCGGCCGUAACCAUAACGGUCCUAAGGUAGCGAAAUUCCUUGUCGGGUAAGUUCCGACCCGCACGAAAGGCGUAAUGAUUUGGAUACUGUCUCGGAGAGGGGCUCGGUGAAAUAGACUUGUCUGUGAAGAUGCGAACUACCUGCACCAGGACAGAAAGACCCUAUGAAGCUUUACUGUAACUUGAAAUUGAAAUUGGACUUUAUUCGCGCAGUAUAGGUGGGAGGUGUUGAUUAUAAUCUUGCGGGAUUAUUGGAGCCAUCAGUGAGAUACCACUCUUGUAUGUUAGAUUUCUAACUUUGAAUCAUUAUCUGGUCAAAGGACAGUUUCAGGCGGGCAGUUUGACUGGGGCGGUCGCCUCCCAAACGGUAACGGAGGCGUACAAAGGUUUCCUCUGAACGGGUAGAAAUCGUAUCUAGAGUGUAAAGGCAUAAGGAAGCUUGACUGUGAGACCUACAAGUCGAACAGGGACGAAAGUCGGUCUUAGUGAUCUGACGGUACUGAGUGGAAAGGCCGUCACUCAACGGAUAAAAGUUACUCUAAGGAUAACAGGCUGAUCUCCCCCAAGAGUUCACAUCGACGGGGAGGUUUGGCACCUCGAUGUCGGCUCAUCGCAUCCUGGGGCGGUAGUACGUCCCAAGGGUUGGGCUGUUCGCCCAUGAAAGCGGUACGCGAGCUGGGUUCAGAACGUCGUGAGACAGUUCGGUCCAUAUCCGGUGUAGGCGUUAGAAUAUUGAGAGGAGCCUUCUUUAGUACGAGAGGACCGAGAAGGACAUACCUCUGGUGUACCAGUUAUCGUGCCAACGGUAAACGCUGGGUAGCUAUGUAUGGAGUGGAUAACCGCUGAAAGCAUCUAAGUGGGAAGCCCACCUCAAGAUAAG